rnacentral:rRNA from 1 species
AAUCCGGCGUCUUAAGCGUCGGGCUGCGGAGGAUACUACUGGACUUGGGAGUGGAAGAGGCCGGCGGUACCCUCUGGGGAGGGGUAAAAUCCUUAGAUCCAGAGGGGACCACCAGUGGCGAAGGCGACCGGCUAGGACACGUCCGACGGUGAGGGACGAAAGCUGGGGGAGCGAUUGGGAUUAGAUACCCCGGUAGUCCCAGCUGUAAACGAUGCAGGCUAGGUGUGUGAGCAGCUACGAGCUACUCAUGUGCCGUAGAGAAAUUGUUAAGCCUGCCGCCUGGGAAGUACGGUCGCAAGGCUGAAACUUACAGGAAUUGGCGGGGGAGCACCACAAGGGGUGAAUUCUGCGGUUUAAUUGGAGUCAACGCCCGGAAACUUACCCGAGGAGACAGCAGGAUGAAGGCCGGGCUGAAGACCUUGCCAGACAAGCUGAGAGGUGGUGCAUGGCCGUCGCCGGUUCGUACCGUGAGGCGUCCUCCUAAGCGAGGCAACGAACGAGACCCGCGCUGUCAGUUGUAGAGGACUUCGAUAGAGAUCUAAGGAAACUGACAGGACUCCCCGCAGGCGGAGGAAGGAGCGGGUACGGCAGGUCAGUAUGCCCCGA